GAUGACAGUCAGUCAUUUGAGUAUUUUUAAUUAUUAUUUUAUAGUAUUUUAGUGAUUUUUAGGAGUAAUACAUGGUCAAAAAGGAGAUUAUUUGAAGAAAUUACAAUAGCAAGAAGAUUGAAGACAAAAGACCAAAGGAAAAAAAAGACUUAGAAAAAUUUCACAAGUUUUGAAGUGUGCAUUCUCUGGAUUUCUCGCGUCACGAACGGAAUGGGCUAGCUACGCGAAUUUGCUUUACAAAGGCACGUGUGACGUCAUCCGCUACAGUAACAUGUUCAGCUUGACCUUUAAUUGAAUGACGUGGCAGCAGGGUAAUGGAUGUGAUCGCAUCUUAUUCUUAUAGUGGCACGAUUUGCCCUAUUUUCAUGGAUAUAUAUGUAGCAGCCUUUAUUAAGAGAAAAGGGAAUUCUAUACAUUGAAGAAAAAGACGCAGACUUUGGAGAAAAGGAUUCGCGGCCGUAACCUAGAGACAAAAGAAUUCUUCAUUGAGUCUUUAUUCAAAAGGUGGAAAUCAUGUCUAUUAUUCAUAAUUUCAUUGUUAUGUUUAGCAUGA
rnacentral:lncRNA from 1 species